GGGGAGAGCGGGAGCGCCCGGGACGCGCGGCGGCGGCGGGUUCAAUUAGCUAAACAAAGAAAUCAUGGCGGCUGUUUACGCGGCGCGGCGCGGCGGGCCCCGAGGAGCGGCGGAGCGGCCCCGCGCCCUGGCCGACUCUUGAGACUGUUGCUUUGCUGAAAACAUUUGACAGCUGCUCUGGAAUAUGACACUUAAGAUAACCCAGAGAAAGAUCACCUGCGGCGUCCUUGAUCAUGCAGCAGUCCUAGGAUAAUCAGAACCGUGGACAGCACCAUGCAGCUCCGGCUCCUCCCCAUGAAAAAACACAUGAUUUUCUAAGGAACUGCAUUGAAUGAUGCUUGUGGUAACACUGGACGAUGCCUCUGACUGCAGGGAACAGGAGUGACUGACCCUAGGGUCUCAGCUGCUGCCUUGGCAAUCCAUCCAGCUGCUGGCUCUCAUGACCGUGUAUCCUGCAAGUGGCUGUAAAAAUGACAAUUCUCAUGACUUUUGACAAAAGGCGUCCAUCUCCUCCAUGUCUGAGGUUUAGCAUAACACUGUAUUCACAGAAGCACCUGUUCAGGAUCCUCUCAUCUCUUCAACCAGCCCCAAAAGUUGAUAUCAACAAAUACUGAUACUGAGAUUCUUCAUGUCUUUUGAUAAGAAGAUGAAAAUGUUUCCUUGAAUGAUACCACAAACUCUUCCCCUUUCAUUGGAUGUGUUUUGUGGUCUUCUUCAUAAGGUUUUGUAUAAUUGGUAACAUCUUCUACAUCGGGAUUAGGGCCUGGCAGCUGUGGUGACAACAUAUCACCGACCAUCUAUGUUGGCAGCAACAUGACCCUGCCUUGAAUAUUAACCAUUGUUAACCUUCUCUAUGGUUUUUAUGUCAUGCUCCCAUAACAUUUAGAUGGGCCGAUUUGUAAGAGUACUUUUCAAAAAAAAAUUUAUUUUAUUUAAAGAAGAAAACAAAACAAAACAAAACAGGAAAAGGGUACAAGUAAUACAGAAUUUCAAAAAAAAUAAACAGUAAGAAAUCACUAGUUAAUAGAUUACAUAUUGUCGUCUUAGAAAUAGUUGUUCAAGUUACAAAAUUAAAGCACACAAAGUGGACAUUCAAACAGUAAGACUGCAAACAGUUGUGUUCAAUGAUCCAACAAAAACUUAGUAAUAUGGUCAUCUGUCUUACACACUUAAACAUACAUGCAGUUGUAUCCUUUAGAACACUUUCUUUUCUUCUCUUUUUUACAAUAACAAUUACACAUUUUAGGUUUUAUUACUCCCACAGUUCUUAUUACUUUUUUUUGUAAGAGAAUAAAACCAAAUGUGACAAAACAAAACAGAGUCAGUCAAAACAAAGGGAGGACAUAUAGUAUAUGAUGUAAAAACAGAAUACAAAGUGAUCAACAAUGGUUACCAUAAUGCCUCUUGCUACCUUAAAAAGGAUUGCCUAUAUUAUCAGGUAUUAUAAAAUUGAACAAAACAGUACAGAACAAACCAAUAAAACCAAAACAUUGGAGACAUUACAGGACUUCAAAAGAAGAUAAUAGUCAAACCAGAAUGGGCAUCACAGUGAAUCUGAUUGCCUUCAAAGUAGUUGCCUAUACUCUCAAACUUGAUACUAUCAAACAAAACAGAAUAGAGUAAAAUCAGUCAAAACAAGACAGUGAGAGCAAUACGGGGCUUCAAAUCAAGUUAAUAGGAAAUCAAAAAAGUUACUACAAUAUAUCCUGCUAUUUUUAAAUUUUUUCCCUUAAUUAAAAAAAUAACUUUUUAAAAAAAGGAGAUUGAGAUAAAAGAGGACAUAACUACACAGGUCAGAACAGAACAAUUUAAGCAACAUAGUGUUUCACCACAAGAUAACUCGACAUAAUAGUAGUUAUCAUAGUGUCUUUCCUUGAAGUAUUUGAGUAUAAUCUCAGCUACUAUAGCAUCAAACAUAUCAACACAGUGUGAAACCACUCAAGAGAAUGAAAGUUACAGGGUAUUUAGAACCAACUAACAGAAAACAAACAAUGGUUCCUAUAUUAUCUCCUUGCCUAUAAAAUUUUGUUUACACUAUCACAUAUAAUAAAAUCCAGUAAGAUACAACGUGAUAAAACCAAUGGAGUCAGAAGAACAACAGCUUGAUGGAACUUCAAAACAAGGUGAUAUUAAAUUAGCACUAGCUAUUAUGAUGUCUUGUUUUCUUCAAAAUAGCUAUUCAUACCAUCACAGAGAGUAUAAUCAAACAACCCAGUAGAAGAGUACUUUUUAAUGUAACAUUUGUUUAUAUCCAGUUUGCUAACAGGAUUAGUUUGUUUGGGAUCCCAAUUGGAUAAAGCUCACAGGAUUAAAGAAAAGACAAUCAUUAAGUUUCUAUAAGAAUGCUGAUGUCCUAGUCAAAUAGUAGCUUUCGUUUAAACUAAUUCUUGUUCUAGUUUUCUCUGUUUUCCAUUUACAUGCCUUUUUUGUUUUGGAUUAGUGGUUUACUUUUGAAUAUCAGAAUAUUUGGUGGUGCUCUUCAAGUAAUUAAAUUACAUCCACAACUAUCAUACAAUUCAUGCAGUUACCCUUUACCACUGUGUGACUGAGUGAGUGUAGCUGUUUAUUGUCCUGGGUUCACUCCAUUAGGUUUUCUUGUAAGAGGCAUAGUUCCUCCACAUUCUAGAAAAUGCUCCAUUUGUAUUUGCAUUGGCUCAAGGCUACACAUUACAGUAAUAAUUAUAUAUUUUUUUUAAUCUUGAAGAAAGUUACACUUUUCUUCCUACCCUGAGGCUAGUUCAGUUAAAUUGCUCCAUUGGAAAGAUAUCAAUAUAAUGCUUUUGUAAUCAAAAAAUUUGUAUGUUGUUAAAAAUUUGAGGAAUCACAUAUAAUAAUUCAGAUGCCUAAAUACAUCAUACCACAACUGAAUAACAUUAUCAUGAUAUUAUAUUGGUAAAAAUUUCUGAUGGCUAAUCCUUCCCCACCUUCGCUGAAAAUAUCCUUCAUAUUUCUAGCCCUAUAUUCAUUUAUAUUUUCCUUGAUGUUGUGUUUUUAGGUCCCUUUGAUGUAGGUGCUAUAGGUAAAAUGCUUUUUAAAUUUUGAUUAUAAUUUUAAAGAAUUUUAAAGAAUCCAGAAAUGUCCAGCAUUUCUAUGAAUACAUAUUGCUGUUAUAAACAAAUGAAAAUUAAUCAUAAAAAGAAUUGUAAAUAAAUAGAUAGAUAGAUAGAUAGAUAGAUAGAUAUUAGCAUCAUCCCAUAGGGAUAUGACCUAUAGAUCAUGUUUCUAGGUAACUCAUACUGUAAUUAGAAAAAAAGAUUCACAAUUUUAGUCAACUUUUAUAAGUAUGAUUUUUCACUAGAGAAUCAGAAGUGAUUUAUAAGUAAGCUUUACAGUAUAUCCCAGUACAUUUGAACAGCCUUGUUUCUUGGAUUUUGGGCAAUUACAUCUUCCAUCACAUUACCAACUAACAAAAAAAACAAACAAACAAAAAAAAAAAAGGAACAAACAGAGCUAAUGCUUCCCAGCUCUAUCCUUCCAUGGAAAGGAUAUUUUAUCUGCAUUGAUUUGAAUAUUCUAAUCACUUACAUGCCAUUUACUAGUAUAAUUAUCAUUUGAUCAUUUGCUUGUUACAGUGAGACUGGACACGAGGUACCUAGGUGUGGUAUCUAGCACAUCCUCACCAAAGUGCUGGCAGUGUACCGCAGAGUCAGCCAUGAAAUCAAGCUCCUUCACUUAGGAAGGAAAUAUAAAAUGAUUUUUUAAAAAAUUCUUGAAGUCUUUUUGAAAGCAUGCAAAGUAAAAAAGGGCAAGAACUUUAAGAAAGAGAGAAAAUUAAUAAAGGGCUGAGAAUACACAGAUGGAAAAAGUUGGCAGCUGGGCCAGACCUAGCAGCUCUCUGCUGCAAAGGACUUUCAGGGAGCACCAGGAGACUGGCAUGAGUCACAUGCUGGCAUUUCCUCCCUCCUCUCUCCUGCCUCCUCACACCAUGACUCCAAAUCAAAACUCUAACUUACCAAAAAUAAGAAUUCACUGCAUUGGAUUCAUAGCAGUGUGUUCCUACCUAAUCCCUUUUCCGUCCUCUGACUUGAUUAAUUUUAUAAUAGGAAUCACACGCAGGAGAGUAUUGGCAUCCCACUAAAUAGUCUGGAGAUGACUGGUCCUUCUGAAAACAGCCAGGCAGGCUGUUGCUGUGUGUGAGUGGAAAGCGCAGGCGAAGUCCUCUGUGCCAUCUCUGCCAGUGUGCCCGCUGACUUGAAUAAAGCAACUCCUCAACGCUGCACUUAGAAGGCUGAGCUUACCUAUAACCUUCUGACCUACAAAGGGUUACAUAAAUCUUGCUUACCUAAUGUUCUCUUGCAGUUCUUUUUAUAUUCUCAAACACAUUGUAUGGAUUUCUCUUCAAUGUCCCUUCAAUUCUAAGGGUGCUCUUGGUGGCAUGGAACUUCACUAAAUUUGUCAGUAAAAGCCAACCCCAGAGUUAAGAAAGCUGCAUAGUAGGCUCUUCUUACACCUGCCCGUCAGCCUCUGAAUGCUGAUGUGUGCUUGAAGUGAGGGAGCUUUAAGAAUCCUUGUUGACGUUGGUCUGAGAUCUCUCUGUCUGAGGUACUAUCAGGGAAUUCACAGGGCAUUCAUCAAAAUCAAGCUGAUGCAAGCAUGAACACUCACAAGAAAGAGCCCUUUUAUGCUGAAAACUGCUGAAGGCUGGAAGGGGCUAAUUUAUUUAAAUUAUACCUCUAAGUGUCAAGCCCCACACUUUCUGGAAGGAGCUGACAACUGUGGGUUAAAGAAAGUUUUCUCAAAUUUAUAAAUAAAUUAGUGAUGGUAGAAAUUUAACGUGGGAAAUCCGAGUCAUAGAAAAGUAAUCGUCAUUGAUGUUGAUGCAGAUGUAGGAAAAUAGUUUUCUGCUAUUAAGCUUUUAAAUGUCAGCAAAUGGCAGUUUAGUAGAUCAUUUGCUAAUAAUGAUUAAAUUUCUCAUUAAAAUGUUUCCUUCAUUAUUCUUCAGGUAGAAAUGUGUAAUUCAAUGACUGUUACAUCAAUUACACUUAAAAAGCUCAUUAAAAUACUGAAAUAUUAUCUCUGGUAGUCAGAGUGCUUUAAGAGUACUGUACUAAUUAUAAAAGAAAUAAACUCUUAUAAUAGCAACCAUUUGAACUGAUGCCUUAUAAAUUCUUAAUGUAAAGCUAACAUGUAAAGUUUAAAUCAAAUAUAUAGAUCCAAUAAAACAAAACCUUUUUAAUCUUGUUUUCCUUCAAAAGAACUCUGAUGAUUGUAAUUAAAUAAUGCAUGAUAUAAUAAAGAUCUAGAGUGUGUGAUUAUUUCAUUGGCAAUUGAAUAUUGGUGCUUUUUAUUUAUGCAAGCAAUGUAUCACAGGCAAUAUGCAUCAAGCAUUAAAAUAUUGAUACAAUUACACCUAGACUGCCGAACCAAUAAAAGAAAUCUGUGACAUGACUGCUCAUGAUAGUAGGACAGUCUGAAAUCUUUUUUAAAUUUUAAUACUCUGAUGUGCCAAGUUAUGCUAAUUUUGCUAAGAAAUAAUGCCUUCAAGAUUCAGUGUUGUGGUUUUCGAAUCCUGAGUGUGAACAGAUCCAGCUUUGCUCAGCAUGACUAACAAGAGAUUGUUUCUAUACACAUUUGACCCCCCCCUUUUUUAGAAAUAUAAACAGAACUAUAAGGUUGGGGUAAAUUUAUCCUAAAGCACAUUCAUUCAUAAUAAUCUUUCUCUAAUAUUCCUACUUAUCAAGUUUAAUGGUUCUUCUGAACACUGAAAUGAUCUUAGUCCUUCAAUCCUUUCUCAAGAGAAUAGAGAGAAAGUUUUCCUGGUAGUUCUUUUAUUAUUAAAUCCCCCGCAAGUGACCAUACAGGGCUCUGAGCUUAUUCAAGAAGUUCCUGACGGCAGCAAUAGAUGACGAGAUUCUCUGCCGUGUGCACACCUGGGGUUCAGUGUUACAUAGCUGACCCAUUUUCUCAUUGAUAAAAAUGGACCAACAACAUCUUUGUUCUGUACACCAAGGAGUAAUUUAACACAUAAUUAUUGACUUUAAAACGGAAACAGAAACAGACUUUAUGUUCAUUUGGCUGCUGAAUUGUUUGUGUGAUUGUAGGGACCUUCCUGUUUGCUUCUAGAGAUUCUUAGAAUCCUACCCUGGCUAUAGCAGUGUUUUCUGUCAUUCCACCCGGAAGCAGUCUUAUUACAGAAGGAUGCAAAGAGUCAGCAUAUGACAGCUGUACAAGGAACCAAAAACCAAUGGCAUAGUUCACGUUUGUAUUUAAUGAAAGAUGUUCCCGAGACCCUUACAAUGUCAUGUCUUCACUGGACCAAAUUUCACAUCAGAGUGGGAUCUAAUGGGAUUUCCACCAUUAUCGGACCUCUUGUAAGUGAUCUGAGAGCCCUGGUGAAUAUACUGUUUCCUAAGCAAAAGGUGCUUUCCAAAGAGGUGCCUGAUAACAUGGAGUUGUGAAAGCAAUGAGCAUUGUUGGGCCUGUAAAUAGGAGAUAUACAUUGUAGCAAUUUAAUUCAUUUUAAGAGUUGUACAGUAGAGCAAAUAACAGUGUGAGUGUCAUCCUCACCUGUCCUUCGACUAACUAUGUAGUUCCCCUUUUAGCAAUGUCAAGUGCAUGCGAGUCCUCUUUUCCUGUAUGAAUAAGUAGCAAUGGCUGGCAAUGAUACAGCACAGUUGAUCAUCAUGAAUGUCUAUAGGGUGUCAUAUUUAUGCUCUUCUGUUUAGCUUAAAUCUUACUCAGGUUCUAAUGGCAAGCAGUCCAGUUGCAAUGGGCUGGCACUACAAAGCAUCUGCUCUAUUCAGAUAAAUAAGACCAAUGUGUUUGAAGGGCAAAGUUUCAAUAUAAGUGGCCUGCCAUUUCAUUUGGAGAUGCAAUUCUUAUGCAGCAUAAGUAACAAAGGCGAAAGGAAUCAUUUGCUAAUUGAUUAAUUCUGAUGUAAAUGAAUUACAAACUUGUGGAAUGUUCUGUGUUUGCAGAAGUUAUAGCUGCCUUCAUUUCUCCUUUGAAUUUGCAAGUACAAGUAUUGAUGAGACUCUGUCCUAUUCAACAUGAUGUCUGUCGUACCAGGUGAGAGGUUAUAGCUAUGAUGGACUUCCGGGACUUGAAAAUUAUUCUUUAUUGGAUACUGGUAUGGCCUGUGUACUCUCAGAUGUAUGCCCAUACACAAAGAAAAAGAAAUUAAAUUUCAUUCAAAGCA